rnacentral:rRNA from 1 species
UACUUGUACCUGGUGGCGAGCGGCGGACGGGUGAGUAAUGCCUAGGAAUCUGCCUGGUAGUGGGGGAUAACGCUCGGAAACGGACGCUAAUACCGCAUACGUCCUACGGGAGAAAGCAGGGGACCUUCGGGCCUUGCGCUAUCAGAUGAGCCUAGGUCGGAUUAGCUAGUUGGUGAGGUAAUGGCUCACCAAGGCGACGAUCCGUAACUGGUCUGAGAGGAUGAUCAGUCACACUGGAACUGAGACACGGUCCAGACUCCUACGGGAGGCAGCAGUGGGGAAUAUUGGACAAUGGGCGAAAGCCUGAUCCAGCCAUGCCGCGUGUGUGAAGAAGGUCUUCGGAUUGUAAAGCACUUUAAGUUGGGAGGAAGGGCAGUUACCUAAUACGUAAUUGUUUUGACGUUACCGACAGAAUAAGCACCGGCUAACUCUGUGCCAGCAGCCGCGGUAAUACAGAGGGUGCAAGCGUUAAUCGGAAUUACUGGGCGUAAAGCGCGCGUAGGUGGUUCGUUAAGUUGGAUGUGAAAUCCCCGGGCUCACCUGGGAACUGCAUUCAAACUGUCGAGCUAGAGUAUGGUAGAGGGUGGUGGAAUUUCCUGUGUAGCGGUGAAAAUGCGUAGAUAUAGGAAGGAACACCAGUGGCGAAGGCGACCACCUGGACUGAUACUGACACUGAGGUGCGAAAGCGUGGGGAGCCAACAGGAUUAGAUACCCUGGUAGUCCACGCCGUAACGAUGUCCACUAGCCGUUGGGAGCCUUGAGCUCUU